rnacentral:rRNA from 1 species
GACGAACGCUGGCGGCGUGCUUAACACAUGCAAGUCGAACGGAAAGGCCCUGCUUUUGUGGGGUGCUCGAGUGGCGAACGGGUGAGUAACACGUGAGUAACCUGCCCUUGACUUUGGGAUAACUUCAGGAAACUGGGGCUAAUACCGGAUAGGAGCUCCUGCUGCAUGGUGGGGGUUGGAAAGUUUCGGCGGUUGGGGAUGGACUCGCGGCUUAUCAGCUUGUUGGUGGGGUAGUGGCUUACCAAGGCUUUGAGGGUAGCCGGCCUGAGAGGGUGACCGGCCACAUUGGGACUGAGAUACGGCCCAGACUCCUACGGGAGGCAGCAGUGGGGAAUAUUGCACAAUGGGCGGAAGCCUGAUGCAGCAACGCCGCGUGCGGGAUGACGGCCUUCGGGUUGUAAACCGCUUUCGCCUGUGACGAAGCGUGAGUGACGGUAAUGGGUAAAGAAGCACCGGCUAACUACGUG